GAUGUUGCACCAGAGCGCUGCAGGGUAACAGACUCAUCAUGGCUUAACCUUACCUGGUAGAUCAGACCCUUAGUGCUUACAGUCUUUUUUUGAGAACUAAAGUGGCUCUGAAAAGAGCCUUUUGGGUAAAGCCGAUCAAUCACGUCUAUGCUGCACUUCACUUGGAGCUGGUGUACUUGGUGACGGCCUUGGUGCCUUCCGACACAGCGUGUUUAGCCAACUCUCCCGGCAGCAGCAGACGCACGGCCGUCUGGAUCUCCCGGGAAGUGAUGGUCGAGCGCUUGUUGUAAUGCGCCAGACGGGAAGCCUCACCUGCGAUGCGCUCGAAGAUAUCGUUCACGAAGGAAUUCAUGAUUCCCAUAGCCUUAGAUGAGAUGCCCGUGUCGGGAUGCACUUGCUUCAGGACCUUGUACACGUAGACAGAAUAGCUCUCCUUGCGGCUGCGCUUGCGCUUCUUGCCAUCUUUCUUCUGCACUUUGGUGACAGCUUUCUUAGAGCCCUUCUUUGGGGCAGGAGCAGACUUCGCUGGAUCCGGCAUUUUCCUCCGCGUUUAAAGAUGCAACGUAAGGUAGACCGGGCAACUACGGACUGUUUCAGUGCGGCUUGCUAUGCGGUACUUAUAGAGCUUGUAUGCAAAUGAGGUUUCACACGGUAUUCCAUUUUUAUUGGUUGAUUUACAGCAGAGUCAGCGUCAAGGAGGCGGAGCCUACUCAAACCGAUUCUGGUUGCGAGCCUUGGUGGUGCUUAGAGGAAAGUCUUUCUAGCCAAUCGCAGCCUUCCAUUUCAUGUUAGCCUGUUAAUGAGAGCGGCAGUUUUGCCUCAGCUGUUCUUUAUGUUCCCUUCACUCACAGAUCCUUAAAACACCAGGUUGAAAUAAGUUAACUAUCGCUCUUAGGUAUCACGCUUGGAAUUUUGGGGCUAUUUUUCAGGUUCACAGUUCUGAGAACCUAAUUAGAACUCCUUUUUUGGACUGGCCCAUAUUUGAGUAGUGAGCUCAAGACCAGCUCUAAAUCGAACAAACCUGGGAUAAGGAAUGUGAUUACUGGUAACUGUUAGGCCUGACACACUUGAGGGUGUAUUUGAAACACUGAAAAAUCAAUUUGCAAAGCUGACACAGCUACUUUCAUUGACAACGUAGGUGGCUCUGAAAAGAGCCUUUGUGGGGGAUGGAUGGGAGACGGGGCGCUUAAGCGCGUUCCCCACGGAUGCGGCGGGCCAACUGGAUGUCCUUGGGCAUGAUGGUGACGCGUUUGGCGUGGAUGGCGCACAGGUUGGUGCCGGGCCGGUAGCGGUGCGGCUUCUUCACGCCGCCCGUGGCCGGGGCGCUCUUGCGGGCGGCCUUGGUGGCCAGUUGCUUGCGCGGGGCCUUGCCGCCGGUGGACUUGCGGGCGGUCUGCUUUGUACGGGCCAUAUUUUUGCGACUUCGGCUUAGGACGCCAAGUGGCCAUACUUAUAGACUUAUCUUCGUCUUGAUUGGGCCCAGAAAGCAGGAGUUUCUGGACUUGCAGUCUGAUUGGGUAGAAUUCGAUCCUAUUUGCUGAGUUUCAAGAUGGUUACACUAUUCCUUCUCUCCUGAUACUUUUCCUUCCUGUAUUUAUGAACAGAGGGUUUUAAAAAGAUAGUGCUUUUCAGUUGAUGUAACUUUCCUAAAUGCAGUGUUUAAAGUGUUUCUCACGCAGUGUGCUCUUCUAACAGGUUUCUUUGGAAACAAACUUGCCCUUUUCAUGUUCUGCGAUUCACUUUGUAGCGAGUCACCAGAUACUGUAGCUCUUCUCCGACAGUUAGCAUUUAUUUAACCUCAGGCUUUGUGCCCAGUGAUUUGAACGCAUUGUACCACGGCCGAAAGAUGACAAAAUGAUGUAUAGUGAAAGGAACCAAAUGCAAACUUAAGUUUUACCUAUUUCGAAACCCUACCAAAGCCGGUCUUACAUUUACUGCAUACUGACUAUCGUUAUGUAUGGCACUCCCGCCUUUCCUUCUGUCUAGAGUGCGUUCCUUCCACCUCCCUUCUACACUAAGGGCCAAUUAAGUCCUGCAGAUGAAAUGUUUAUAUAACAGAAGGAUAAGACUAGAAGUAUUAAUACCGCCUUUCCAGUGGAGAACAGCUACUAAAUAGUUAAACCUGUCAUCUAGAUGACAAGUCAAAAUAACUUUCAAAGCAAAUGAGCAUUUACUUAUUUGAUUCUUUUUCCUUUUCUUUUCGAGACAGGGUUUCUCUGUGUAGCCCUGACUGUCUUGGACCUCACUCUGUAGACCAGGCCGGCCUCGAACUCAGAAAUCCACCUGCCUCUGCCUCCCAAGUGCUGGGAUUAAAGGCAUGCGCCACCACAGGAUUUCUGUAUGUAGGCUUGGGUUCCUGAAACUUCCAUUUGUAGACCAGGCUGGCCUGUUUCUGCCUCCUGAGUGCUGAGAUUAAAGGUGUGUGCUACUAUGGCCUGGUUCAAAGUAAAGCUUUUAAUAGCAUGCCUGAUUUUUUGGUAAAAAAGCAUUGUAUACCAACCUUAAAAUUCAAACCCAAAAGUAAAAAUAGGCCCAAGAUAUUUAAAACUUUCCUAGAGGUGACAAAAAUGUAUUAUCUUUUCGCUGAAAUCCAAGUAAAAUGAAAUUGAUUUUAAGGAGAUUCCAAAAUACUAAACACAGGUAGCAGUUUGGCAGUUUAAUUAAUUUCUUUAAGAAUCCUUCAGGAGCAGAAGUAACCUCCAAAAUAUGGCACAAAAGUAUCACUGAUGGGAACUGUUACCUUCCUGUGGUCAUUUCUUAACAUAGCCAGCAAUGCUUCCUAUAAAAGUGGAUCUAGGGUGAGAUGGAUCAGUAGGUAAAGUCUUGAAACACAGAAACAUCUUCAUAUCGUAUAAUCAAACCAUUCAGGACUUCUCAAACGCUGCUGACCUUUCCCAUUAGAAGGGGACCUGCCCUGUGGGGCUGGAUGGUGCCCACACCAGGUAUCGUGUUUCCUGGUAAGAUUUUCUUUGUAAUAUAUGUACUGGAGCACAAAGCAUGUGGGUGUUUAUUUAAAUCAGAAAGAGAUUCUCAAACUUCAGACUCU
ensembl:antisense